UGAUGACCUCGCCGUCCAUGCUGGGAUGGAACCCUUCAGUGAUGCGGUUCUUGAGUCACCGUGUUCCUUUGAGUACCCCAUCUCUCAGGCUUCUGUGAGAAUCCCAGCUGUGCACAGCCUCACACCACUGCCAUGAAGGGAUGAAUCCUUUUCCAGCAUUUCUCAGACUUUGUGUGAACAAUUCCACCCGAGGCCUUCUCUGAUAUGCUCAAACUUCUCAGCGCCUGGAAGCAGCUGUCAAGCACUGACAGUAGAAAGUACGGCUACCUCCUUGAAACAGAAGUCGAGACUGGCCGAGUGUCUUUGAACAAGGUCUUCUCAUUUGCUCUACUAAGCAAAUGUUAUAUGAUUCAUGUAGUUACUGUGAAGACAGACAGAAGGAAAAUCCACCAAAGAGUGGUCUGCUUGCUGGUCCAGAGAUGCUAGGAUCAAAGACUCGGAAAGAGGAGAUUGGAGAUUAAACAACACCAACAUCCACACCAACAUCCACGCCAACACCAACAUCAACAUCAUCAUCAACAGCAACAGCACGGGACAUUUCAUCUACGACAGUGUUUCCAACGUCUAUGUUGAAGCUUUCUCUUUGAUGCCAUCAUUGAGAAACAUUACUUAAACCUCAGAAAUGAGCCAAUGGUACCUUCAUUGUCAGAUUGAGGCAUGAUGGAUCACUAACCCAGGGGUAUUUGGUCCAGGGCAACGGGUCUGCAUCUAACUUGGCUCUUUUCUAGGAGCCCAGAUGCAUGCUAACUUGAAGGUUUCUGUUCCCAGGGAGGAGAUAAGAGAUAAAGAGAAGAUAAGGCCAA